GACGUAGGGCGCGAGCGUUGUCCGGAUUUAUUGGGCGUAAAGAGCUCGUAGGCGGCUUGUUGCGUCGACCGUGAAAACCCGUGGCUUAACUGCGGGCUUGCAGUCGAUACGGGCAGACUAGAGUUCGGCAGGGGAGACUGGAAUUCCAGGUGUAGCGGUGAAAUGCGUAGAUAUCUGGAGGAAUACCGGUGGCGAAGGCGGCAUCCUGGACCAUAACUGACGCUGAGGCGCGAAAGCUAGGGGAGCAAACGGG
rnacentral:rRNA from 1 species